GCACUUGUACCUGCAGCCUGGCCCGGCCCCCAGCUCCCCGGCGGCCCCUGUCCUGCCCGGCUCGGCCCUGCUCUCGGGGGUGGCCCUCAAGGGCCAGUAUGUGGAGUUCUCGGCCCUGCAGGCGGCCGAGCUGGCCAAGCUGCCGGCCACGGGGCUGCUCUACCAGGCGGCCCCCCCCUUCCUCUACAGCCCCCCCUUCUGUGCCGGCCAGCUGGGCCCCGAGCAGCCCCUACUCCAGGUAUGUGGUGGAGGGGAGAGGAGGGGGCGGGGCUCCCUGCGCCUGGCUCCGCCCCCUGAUCACCAGUUCCUCCCCUCCAGGUGCGGCAGGAGCUGAACCCCCCCUCGGAUUUCUACCCAGGCUCCCUGGCGCAGGCCAAUCAGAGCAACUUCCUGCAGGCCCCGGGCCCCGCCCAGCAGAUGCUGCUGCCUGUGGUGGAGUCACAGCUGCCCCCGGUGGUGAACUUCAA
rnacentral:lncRNA from 1 species